GGCUUUGACUGGAAUGUCAUAUUUGAGAAUUAUAUGCAUAGACUCAAUAUGACCAGACAGCUUUAAGGAACUAAGGUUGGCUUUAUGAAAUACAGAGCCAUAAAGCCUCUUAGAAAUGUUGGCCUGAUACCUUGCUUGCAGAGUUCCCAGCAGUCUCACUAGGUGAGUAAAGAAGGUCACUUCCUGGCAGGUGCAGGAACCUCAGAAUAUCUUGGGGACCUCAUGAAGAGGAAUUUGCCCAAUUCUACAGGUGUUGCAGGCCUGUCUGAUGGCAAGUAUUUGGCUUGGCUUCUGGCCUGGAGAGGCUACUAAAAGUUCAAUAUGGAGAUUCCUUACAAAAGGUUCCAACAAAGCAAACUUUGUCACUAUUUUUGCUGAGCUUAUGUAAAUAAUUAGGCCAGGUUUGUUAAGACUGGAUUUGUUCUACAAAUGCGUUGGUCUCGAUUUGGCUAUCUCUGGAAAUGGGGGGUUUUAGAGAGAAAAACUAUGUUUUAACAACACACUGUUAUGAGUGUUAAAUUCCAGUUCUGAUUGUCUUUAAAUGUUUGUUUGCCUAAACUAGACACCUUGAGGUAAACUUUAGAAAAAUUGUCACAGUAUUUCAUGUAUAGACAAUCUUCUGUGGUGGUUAUUCUGUGGGGAUAAUAAUAAGACCCCAUGGGUCCAUCACUCCAGAAUUAAGAAGGCCAACUCUAAAGAGCCCUCAACCUGGAAAAGUAACUCAGACCUGGUCGACCCGCUUAAACUGACCCUCAAAAAGAUGCUGGCCCCUGAGAUCUUCAGCCCUGCUCCAGCCACACCCCGGAAGCUGGCUGGCCUGCGCACAGCAGAAGCUUGAGGAAUCAGUGUGUGGACUAAGUCCAGGUGUUUGGAUGCAACUCUGCCAACUCUUGCUCCUUACUAUUGGACUAUUAGAGGCUGCCCCACAAACUGGAAAUCCUGGCUUCCUGCCCUGGCAGGGCCCCUCCUUUCCAUAAUUUUACUUGUGACCAUCGGCCUCUGUAUCUUAAAACCCUGGUAUGCUUCACUGAAAACACCAUUGCUUGCCAAACUGCAACACACACCUUAGCCUUCCAAGGGUACCAACCCCUAGAGCUAAAGGGUGAUGCGUACUAAAAAAAUAUCUUUAAAAGAGGCAUCAAAGGGGGAAAUGUUGGGAAAAUAAGUAAAGUUAUGCACCAUCACAUGGCCUAUGGGACUGACAUGAGCUCUAGUUUCUAGCUUAGAGACCCCUCUUCCGGGUUCUUCUUCCUGCCCUGCUUGCCAUGCGUGCCAAAUUACUACUAAUGUGGAAUGCGGAAGUAACAGAUGAUGAAUUGUCCCCCUGCUUGUGCUUGGUUCUCAGACCUCUGGAGAAUGAUCUCCUCUGAGCCCACCAGUGUAAAAUAAACCUCCUGCCUUCCAAGA